UACGGCCACAUUGCGUUAAAGUACCAGUUCCCGUACGAUCACCGAAGUUAAGCAAUGUCGAGUUCGAACAUUAAUUAGAUCGGUGACCGCUUGGGAAUACCAGGUGCUGUAA